AGUGAACGCUGGCGGUAGGCCUAACACAUGCAAGUCGAACGGCAGCACAGUAAGAGCUUGCUCUUACGGGUGGCGAGUGGCGGACGGGUGAGGAAUACAUCGGAAUCUACUUUUUCGUGGGGGAUAACGUAGGGAAAUUUACGCUAAUACCGCAUACGACCUACGGGUGAAAGAAGGGGAUCUUCGGACCUUGCGCGAUUGAAUGAGCCGAUGUCGGAUUAGCUAGUUGGCGGGGUAAAGGCCCACCAAGGCGACGAUCCGUAGCUGGUCUGAGAGGAUGAACAGCCACACUGGAACUGAGACACGGUCCAGACUCCUACGGGAGGCAGCAGUGGGGAAUAUUGGACAAUGGGCGCAAGCCUGAUCCAGCCAUACCGCGUGGGUGAAGAAGGCCUUCGGGUUGUAAAGCCCUUUUGUUGGGAAAGAAAAGCAGCAGGUUAAUACCCCGCUGUUCUGACGGUACCCAAAGAAUAAGCACCGGCUAACUUCGUG
rnacentral:rRNA from 1 species